AUGAGCUUUUGCCAUUCUCUACAUAUCAUUAGGACUGAUAUGUGUUUUGCAUUUCAUGUAAUUCUGAGCAUGUUAUCUGCCUCAAAAUCACCAGAACAGAAUAUUCAACACUAUAUUAGAUAUCAAUAUCCCCACAACAGAUUUACAUCGGCCAUGUUUUGUCAUUAUUCUGAUGAAGUUUCAAGCAAAUUGAGUAAAAAUAAGAUGCUGAAUUCAAAGCAUUUUGAAAAUGACACACUUCCUGCUGCCAGUUGGUGGCGCUAUAAUUUUGACUCCUAAUAGUCACAUCUAUGCGAUCGGCAUCAUACAACGAACAAACCAAUGAAGUUUGAUCAAAAUCAAGGAAUGUAUGUGGAUGUUAUUAGACAUUUCCUGCUUGUCAUUUUUUGCCCUAAUUUCAACGCCUCGCCACGGGCAAACCGUUCGAGAUAUCAAAAAUCCCCUGGCAAUUUUUCAUCCCCAAUGUCUUGAGAUCAUGUUCACCGAGUUUCGAGGCAAACGGUUGAAAGUCCUCAGAGGAGUAUUUCAAAUUCCAGAGCAUGCUUUUUUUAAACAGCCCUGAAUAGCUGACUUCCUGUUGGGCGGAGCCUAUGAUAUAGAGCGCGAAAGUUGUUCAGCUCAAUGAGAUCUAUAAGUGUACUGAGUUUCAUAUAAAUACAUGCAAGUAUGUGUGAGCUAUGGUUCAAGAUAUAUGACUGUGUUCCAGGGGGCGCCGUAGAGCCCCUGUGCCACGCCCGGGUCCCAGCCUCUGCGGCGUCCUGAUGGCCGCAGGUUCCAAUGUGUGUGCCAAUUUUCAAGAGUUUUUGAGUAUGUUAAGGCCCCGAAAAACCCCCGGAAGGUUUAUAAAAAAAUAAAAAAAAUAAUAAUAAAUAUAGCUGCAAGCAGCGAUGGCGGGCUCAAGCCAUCAGUGCAAACGCCACCCCGGUGGCAUCAGGUAAACUGUGCCCAGUGGAGACAUACACAAUAACCCUCUAGCACAGGGGUGUCCAACCCUGUUAAUGGCGAUCGACUGUCCUGCAAAGUUUAGCUCCAACCCUACUCAAACACACCUGAAGCAACUAAUUAAUGUCUUCAGGAUUGCUUGAAAAUUAAAGGUAGGUGUGACUGAUUAGAGUUGGAGCUGAACUUUGCAGGAGAGUCGAUCACCAGGAACAGGAUUGGGCACACUUAAUUUAGCAGUUUGGAUUUAAGGGAUACAGCAAUGAAAGGGUUAAUCCAAACCAUCAAGAGACACACACAACACAAUAUAUAAAACUUGAGUAACACUUCCAAUAAGGUUUCAGUUAUUAACAUUAAUUAUAUUAAAUUACAUUAACAACAACUGUAUGGCAUUUAUUAAUGUGAGUCUCUCUCUCUGUCUUUCUCACACACUCACUUACACACACACACACACACACACACAAAUAAAUUAUUAUUAUUAUUAUUAUUAUUAUUAUUAUUAUUAUUAUUUUUAUUAUUGUAAGACUUUUCAAUAAGGAUUUAGUUUUUAACAUUAUAUAAGUUAACAAGUACAUCAUUUAUAUAGCAUUUAUGGAUCUUAGUUAAUAUUAUGUUCAAAAUGCAUUACUACAUUAUUAAUUAAAAUUUAUAGUUAAUG
ensembl:lncRNA